rnacentral:rRNA from 1 species
UACAGGGGGUGCAAACGUUGCUCGGAAUCAUUGGGCGUAAAGCGCACGUAGGCGGUCUGUUAUGUCGGAUGUGAAAGCCCCGGGCUCAACCCGGGAAGUGCACUCGAUACUGUCGAGCUAGAGUAUCGGAGAGGUUGGUGGAAUUCUCGGUGUAGAGGUGAAAUUCGUAGAUAUCGAGAGGAACACCGGUGGCGAAGGCGGCCUGCUGGGAUCGAGCUGACGCUGAGGCGCGACAGCGUGGGGAGCAAACAGG